ensembl:rRNA 5S_rRNA 5S ribosomal RNA
UUACACAGACAUGUCACCCUGCAGCCUAAGACCGGUUACUUACUGAAGCUAAGCAGAGCUGAGCCUGAUCAGUACCUGGAUGGGAGACCACAUGGGAAAUCUAGGAAGCAGUUGGAA